UCAAAGGGUUUUUCAACAUUAAAACUACCUUUUUCGAUGGAUUUUUUAGGGGCAUCUGUAGUUCUACAUUAUAAGUUAGCAUCCUUAUAUAAACUUUUUUCCAUAAAUAAAUAGCAUUUUACUAGAAUGUACAGUGGAUUUCACCAAAAGUUUAUGGCCAUAGUCUUUUUGGUGUAUGGAAAGCCAUCAACUGCUACCUCCAUUGCCAUCAAUUCAUUUUAGUUAAGUUUAGGGGGAAUUAAAGCUUCAUCAAUCUUGGCAAUAGUGAUUAUUAACACGUUAGUAGUAAAGAUGGGGCCAUGCAUUUUAGGGAGAAAGGAAUUGAAUUGAAAUUCUUUUGGACAUUUUGGAAGUGCAUUUUCACUGGUUUUCAUGAUUAGGUGGAAACAAAUUUUAUGAGCUUUGCCAAGAACAUAUAUUUGGUGCGUUUUUGUUAAUGGUUUUGGUAUGAACUGG
rnacentral:lncRNA from 1 species